UUCUUCUCCCGGGUGUGAGUGCGCACAUGGCGCUCCAGCUCGUCCGAGCGGGUGAACCUCUUGCCGCAGAAAAGCCAGUUGCAGACGAAAGGCCUCUCGCCAGUGUGCCAGCGCAGUGCCGCUGAGUCCCGCAGAGGGCUGGAGCCGCCAAACUUACUGCAAGCCGCCGUCAGCAUGGCCAGGGGACUGGAGCCAUAGUGAGCUUCUUCCUGGAGAGAGAGGGAGAGGCACGGCUUAGGAGGACGUGUGAGGAGUGAAGCGCGCAGCAGCUACCUGACUGAGACCCGCAGACACGGAGAACGGAGCACGCACAGAGGCUAGGGAAAGCCCCCGACUAAAGAGCCGAGCCUCAUCUCCUUGAGGUCAAGUCCACAUGUACCUGGUAAGAAAUCUCUUGGCAUGGACUUUGGAGCUGGGAAGCUGGAGGAAAGGACAGCAGAGACACUGGGACAUUGAGAGGGAACAGGGCUGCAGCCAAGCCGAGACUGUGGUGAAGCAAGAAUGUCUUUCAAACAGGCAUUGGGCGCCUCCUGCUUCUUGGUCCUAGCUAGUAUCCCUCUGGGCAAUGGAAGAGUCCAAAGUCCUCAGGACUCUCCAAGACGGAGCUGGGUCACAGCCUUACUCCUCUAGGUACAUGGGGUUGGUCUGCACCAUACCAUCCAAGUGCAGCGAAUGGAAGAAGACAUGAAAGUGGGCUGAGGAAGGUCUUUUAGAAACACAGAGGUAGAGGCCAGCCUGGGCUACAGAGUGAGUUCCAGGACAGGCUCCAAAGCUACACAGAGAA